rnacentral:tRNA from 1 species
GCGGCCGUAGUCUAGUGGUAGGAUGCUGGCUUGCCAAGCCAGAGGCCCGGGUUCAAAUCCCGGCGGCCGCA